rnacentral:rRNA from 1 species
UGGGGAAUAUUGGGCAAUGGGGGAAACCCUGACCCAGCAACGCCGCGUGAGGGAAGAAGGUUUUCGGAUUGUAAACCUCUGUCCUUAGGGACGAAGAAAGUGACGGUACCUAAGGAGGAAGCUCCGGCUAACUACGUGCCAGCAGCCGCGGUAAUACGUAGGGAGCGAGCGUUGUCCGGAAUUACUGGGCGUAAAGGGUGCGUAGGCGGUUUGUCAAGUCGAAUGUGAAAUACCGGGGCUUAACCUCGGGGCUGCAUUCGAAACUGGCAGACUUGAGUGCAGGAGAGGAAAGCGGAAUUCCUAGUGUAGCGGUGAAAUGCGUAGAUAUUAGGAGGAACACCAGUGGCGAAGGCGGCUUUCUGGACUGUAACUGACGUUGAGGCGCGAAAGCGUGGGGAGCAAACAGGAUUAGAUACC